GCUGGAGAUAUCGGAAGUGAGAAUGCUGACAUGAGUAACGAGAUGAGUGUGAGAAACACUCACGCCGAAAGUCCAAGGGUUCCUGCUUAAAGCUAAUCUGAGCAGGGUGAGCCGGCCCCUAAGCCGAGGCAGAGAUGCGUAGGUGAUGGGAACGAGGUUAAUAUUCCUCGGCCUGGAGAUGAGUGACGGAUUGUGAACUGUGUUCCUCCUUAAUGGAUUGGAGGGGCGCUGCAGCAGUCCCAGGAAAUAGCCUCUCCAUAUAGACCGUACCCCAAACCGACACAGGUGGUCAGGUAGAGAAUACCAAGGCGCUUGAGAGAACUCGGGUGAAGGAACUAGGCAAAAUGGCACCGUAACUUCGGGAGAAGGUGCGCCGCUGACGGUGAUGGGACUUGCUCCCUAAGCUAUUGGCGGUCGAAGAUACCAGGUGGCUGCGACUGUUUACUAAAAACACAGCACUCUGCAAACACGAAAGUGGACGUAUAGGGUGUGACGCCUGCCCGGUGCCGGAAGGUUAAUUGAUGGGGUUAGCGUAUGCGAAGCUCUUGAUCGAAGCCCCGGUAAACGGCGGCCGUAAC
rnacentral:rRNA from 1 species